GGGUUGUGAGGUUAAGCGACUAAGCGUACACGGUGGAUGCCCUGGCAGUCAGAGGCGAUGAAGGGCGUGCUAAUCUGCGAUAAGCGCCGGUAAGGUGAUAUGAACCGUUAUAACCGGCGAUACCCGAAUGGGGAAACCCAGUGUGAUUCGUCACACUAUCAUUAACUGAAUCCAUAGGUUAAUGAGGCGAACCGGGGGAACUGAAACAUCUAAGUACCCCGAGGAAAGAAAUCAACCGAGAUUCCCCAGUAGCGGCGAGCGAACGGGGAGGAGCCCAGAGCCUGAAUCAGCAUGUGUGUUAGUGGAAGCGUCUGGAAAGGCGCGCGAUACAGGGUGACAGCCCCGUACACAAAAGCGCAUGUGCUGUGAGCUCGAUGAGUAGGGCGGGACACGUGGUAUCCUGUCUGAAUAUGGGGGGACCAUCCUCCAAGGCUAAAUACUCCUGACUGACCGAUAGUGAACCAGUACCGUGAGGGAAAGGCGAAAAGAACCCCGGCGAGGGGAGUGAAAAAGAACCUGAAACCGUGUACGUACAAGCAGUGGGAGCACAGGUUUACCUGUGUGACUGCGUACCUUUUGUAUAAUGGGUCAGCGACUUAUAUUCUGUAGCAAGGUUAACCGUAUAGGGGAGCCGCAGGAAACCGAGUCUUAAUUGGGCGUUAAGUUGCAGGGUAUAGACCCGAAACCCGGUGAUUAGCCAUGGGCAGGUUGAAGGUUGGGUAACACUAACUGGAGGACCGAACCGACUAAUGUUGAAAAAUUAGCGGAUGACCUGUGGCUGGGGGUGAAAGGCCAAUCAAACCGGGAGAUAGCUGGUUCUCCCCGAAAGCUAUUUAGGUAGCGCCUCGUGAAUUCAUCUCCGGGGUAGAGCACUGUUUCGGCUAGGGGGCCAUCCCGGCUUACCAACCCGAUGCAAACUGCGAAUACCGGAGAAUGUUAUCACGGGAGACACACGGCGGGUGCUAACGUCCGUCGUGAAGAGGGAAACAACCCAGACCGCCAGCUAAGGUCCCAAAGUCAUGGUUAAGUGGGAAACGAUGUGGGAAGGCCCAGACAGCCGGAUGUUGGCUUAGAAGCAGCCAUCAUUUAAAGAAAGCGUAAUAGCUCACUGGUCGAGUCGGCCUGCGCGGAAGAUGUAACGGGGCUAAACCAUGCACCGAAGCUGCGGCAGCGACACUGUGUGUUGUUGGGUAGGGGAGCGUUCUGUAAGCCUGCGAAGGUGGCCUGUGAGGGUUGCUGGAGGUAUCAGAAGUGCGAAUGCUGACAUAAGUAACGAUAAAGCGGGUGAAAAGCCCGCUCGCCGGAAGACCAAGGGUUCCUGUCCAACGUUAAUCGGGGCAGGGUGAGUCGACCCCUAAGGCGAGGCCGAAAGGCGUAGUCGAUGGGAAACGGGUUAAUAUUCCCGUACUUGGUGUUACUGCGAAGGGGGGACGGAGAAGGCUAUGUUGGCCGGGCGACGGUUGUCCCGGUUUAAGCGUGUAGGUGUGUGUUCCAGGUAAAUCCGGUUCACUUUAACACUGAGGCGUGACGACGAGGCACUACGGUGCUGAAGCAACAAAUGCCCUGCUUCCAGGAAAAGCCUCUAAGCAUCAGGUAACAUCAAAUCGUACCCCAAACCGACACAGGUGGUCAGGUAGAGAAUACCAAGGCGCUUGAGAGAACUCGGGUGAAGGAACUAGGCAAAAUGGUGCCGUAACUUCGGGAGAAGGCACGCUGACACGUAGGUGAAGUGAUUUACUCACGGAGCUGAAGUCAGUCGAAGAUACCAGCUGGCUGCAACUGUUUAUUAAAAACACAGCACUGUGCAAACACGAAAGUGGACGUAUACGGUGUGACGCCUGCCCGGUGCCGGAAGGUUAAUUGAUGGGGUCAGCGCAAGCGAAGCUCCUGAUCGAAGCCCCGGUAAACGGCGGCCGUAACUAUAACGGUCCUAAGGUAGCGAAAUUCCUUGUCGGGUAAGUUCCGACCUGCACGAAUGGCGUAAUGAUGGCCGGCUGUCUCCACCCGAGACUCAGUGAAAUUGAACUCGCUGUGAAGAUGCAGUGUACCCGCGGCAAGACGGAAAGACCCCGUGAACCUUUACUAUAGCUUGACACUGAACAUUGAGCCUUGAUGUGUAGGAUAGGUGGGAGGCUUUGAAGUGUGGACGCCAGUCUGCAUGGAGCCGACCUUGAAAUACCACCCUUUAAUGUUUGAUGUUCUAACGUGGACCCGUAAUCCGGGUUGCGGACAGUGUCUGGUGGGUAGUUUGACUGGGGCGGUCUCCUCCUAAAGAGUAACGGAGGAGCACGAAGGUUGGCUAAUCCUGGUCGGACAUCAGGAGGUUAGUGCAAUGGCAUAAGCCAGCUUGACUGCGAGCGUGACGGCGCGAGCAGGUGCGAAAGCAGGUCAUAGUGAUCCGGUGGUUCUGAAUGGAAGGGCCAUCGCUCAACGGAUAAAAGGUACUCCGGGGAUAACAGGCUGAUACCGCCCAAGAGUUCAUAUCGACGGCGGUGUUUGGCACCUCGAUGUCGGCUCAUCACAUCCCGGGCUGAAGUAGGUCCCAAGGGUAUGGCUGUUCGCCAUUUAAAGUGGUACGCGAGCUGGGUUUAGAACGUCGUGAGACAGUUCGGUCCCUAUCUGCCGUGGGCGCUGGAGAACUGAGGGGGGCUGCUCCUAGUACGAGAGGACCGGAGUGGACGCAUCACUGGUGUUCGGGUUGUCAUGCCAAUGGCACUGCCCGGUAGCUAAAUGCGGAAGAGAUAAGUGCUGAAAGCAUCUAAGCACGAAACUUGCCCCGAGAUGAGUUCUCCCUGAGACUUAGAGUCUCCUGAAGGAACGUUGAAGACGACGACGUUGAUAGGCCGGGUGUGUAAGCGCAGCGAUGCGUUGAGCUAACCGGUACUAAUGAACCGUGAGGCUUAACCUUACAACGCCGAAG
rnacentral:rRNA from 1 species